rnacentral:rRNA from 1 species
AUUGAACGCUGGCGGCAUGCUUUACACAUGCAAGUCGAACGGUAACAGGGAGCUUGCUCCGCUGACGAGUGGCGAACGGGUGAGUAAUGCGUCGGAACGUGCCGAGUAGUGGGGGAUAACGCAUCGAAAGGUGUGCUAAUACCGCAUACGUACUGAGACAGAAAGUGGGGGACCUUCGGGCCUCACGCUAUUCGAGCGGCCGACGUCUGAUUAGCUAGUUGGUGAGGUAAAGGCUCACCAAGGCGACGAUCAGUAGCGGGUCUGAGAGGAUGAUCCGCCACACUGGGACUGAGACACGGCCCAGACUCCUACGGGAGGCAGCAGUGGGGAAUUUUGGACAAUGGGCGCAAGCCUGAUCCAGCCAUGCCGCGUGUCUGAAGAAGGCCUUCGGGUUGUAAAGGACUUUUGUCCGGGAGCAAAUGCCUGGUGUUAAUAGCACUGGGAGCUGAGAGUACCGGAAGAAUAAGCACCGGCUAACUACGUGCCAGCAGCCGCGGUAAUAC